rnacentral:rRNA from 1 species
CAGUCGCCGCGGGAAUACGAAGGGUGCAAGCGUUACUCGGAAUUACUGGGCGUAAAGCGUGCGUAGGUGGUGGUUUAAGUCCGUUGUGAAAUCCCCGGGCUCAACCUGGGAACUGCAUUUGUGACUGCAUUGCUGGAGUACGGCAGAGGGGGAUGGAAUUCCGCGUGUAGCAGUGAAAUGCGUAGAUAUGCGGAGGAACACCGAUGGCGAAGGCAAUCCCCUGGGCCUGUACUGACGCUCAUGCACGAAAGCGUGGGGAGCAAACAGGAUUAGAUACCCCUGUAGUCCCUGUCUCUUAUAC